rnacentral:rRNA from 1 species
UACGUAGGUGGCAAGCGUUGUCCGGAUUUACUGGGCGUAAAGAGCGCGCAGGCGGUCGUUCAAGUCGCGUGUGAAAGCCCCCGGCUCAACUGGGGAGGGUCACGCGAUACUGAUCGACUCGAAGGCAGGAGAGGGUAGUGGAAUUCCCGGUGUAGUGGUGAAAUGCGUAGAUAUCAGGAGGAACACCGGUGGCGAAGGCGGAUCUCUGGGCCUGUCCUGACGCUGAGGCGCGAAAGCUAGGGGAGCGAACAGG